rnacentral:sRNA from 1 species
GAAUAGAUGCGUUAGGGGUUGAAGUGGAGCUCUUUUUAUGUCUGGUUUUGCCGGGCAUAAAAAAGCGGGAACGUAAAACCCGACCCGCU